CCAAAAAAUCUCCAAAAAUUGACUUUUUUCAAAAUUUCAAAUUUCUGUCGUUUGUCCACCUCGAGUUCUAUACGUAUGCCAAAAAUCGUCGUUUGUCCACCCUACGUUUAAAAGAUAUUCAAAAAACAAAUUUUGUACUGAAAAUUUCAAAGUCCCAUAAAAUCUCCAAAAUUUGACUUUUUUCAAAAUUUCAAAUUUCUGUCGUUUGUCCACCUCGAGUUCUAUACGUAUGCCAAAAAUCGUCGUUUGUCCACCCUACGUUUAAAAGAUAUUCAAAAAACAAAAUUUGUACUGAAAAUUUCAAAGUCCCAAAAAAUCUCCAAAAAUUGACUUUUUUCAAAAUUUCAAAUUUCUGUCGUUUGUCCACCUCGAGUUCUACACGUAUGCCAAAAAUCGUCGUUUGUCCACUCUACGUUUAGAAGAUAUUCAAAAAACAAAUUUUGUACUGAGAAAUCGAAAAAAAAAUAUUACGCAUACACCAGAGUGAAAAUUUCAAAAUCCUCAAAAAUUACUUUUUUUCAAAAAUUCAAACGGCAAUCGUUUGUCCACCUCGAGAAAUGGAUACAAACAAAAAAUCAUCGUUUGUCCACCCUACGUUUAGGAGAUAUUCAAAAAACAAAAUUUGUACUGAAAAAUUCGAAGUCCCAAAAAAUCUCCAAAAAUUGACUUUUUUCAAAAUUUCAAAUUUCUGUCGUUUGUCCACCUCGAGUUCUACACGUAUGCCGUCGUUUGUCCACCCUACGUUUAAAAGAUAUUCAAAAAACAAAAUUUGUACUGAAAAUUUCAAAGUCCCAAAAAAUCUCCAAAAAUUGACUUUUUUCAAAAUUUCAAAUUUCUGUCGUUUGUCCACCUCGAGUUCUACACGUAUGCCAAAAAUCGUCGUUUGUCCACCCUACGUUUAGAAGAUAUUCAAAAAACAAAUUUUGUACUGAGAAAUCGAAAAAAAAAUAUUACGCAUACACCAGAGUGAAAAUUUAAAAAUCCUCAAAAAUUACUUUUUUUCAAAAAUUCAAACGGCAAUCGUUUGUCCACCUCGAGAAAUGGAUACAAACAAAAAAUCAUCGUUUGUCCACCCUACGUUUAGGAGAUAUUCAAAAAACAAAAUUUGUACUGAAAAAUUCGAAGUCCCAAAAAAUCUCCAAAAAUUGACUUUUUUCAAAAUUUCAAAUUUCUGUCGUUUAUCCACCUUACUUUCAGAAAAUAUUUAAAAAAACAAAAAAUUCAAGGUCCCAUAAAAUCCACUAAAAUUUUUGUUUCAAAAAUGUUACCGCUUAUUCUUAUUCAAAUAACUAAGCACUCUCUCGGUACUAGGUUCACUUUAUCUAUUUAUAUGAAAAAAAGUAUCCAAAAAUGGUAUGAAAAGCCAAAAAUUUGUUUGACAAUUUUUAAUUUUGCAGUAAGAAAAUUUUUUUUUAUUAACUUACUUUUUUUUUGAAAAUUAAAUGAUUAGGUAUUUCAAAUGUAUCCUUUCCUUUUUUAUAAAGUGAUCCGUUGUUGAGGUAUGAAUAGUUUAAUUCAAGAGUAUGAAUAUUUGUUUGAAGACUGAAAAUGAAGUCUUUAAAAACAAAUAAUCUAAAUGAAUAGCCUUUCAAAAAAUAAUAAAUGACUUAAGAGAAAAUAAGACAGUUCUAUUUCUAUUUCACGAUUUUAAAUAAAAUCUUUACUUCUAAAAUUGUAAAACCAGAAAAAUGAAGCUUUCACAUGCUUUUUGUUUUGUCAUGAUACGAUUAUUUUUCAUUGAGAAACAGCUUAUCAAAAAUCACUAAAAAAAGAAUCACGAAUUUUGUUUGUUCCUAAAAUUUUUUGGGCUACUGUAUUUAGUUCAUAUAAAUAGUUUAAGUUAGUAUGGUAAAUUAAAGUGCUAAGUUAUUUGAAUAAGAAUUAGUGCUUAAAUUAUUGUAAAAAAAAUUUUUGGGGUUUUUGUUAUUUUUACUAAGGAAUGUAUGCGUAUUUUCUUGAGAGUUGCUAUAGAAAAAUUCUUUUUGGAAUAUCUCCUAAACGUAGGGUGGACAAACGACGAUUUUUAGUACACGUGUAGAACUGGAGGUGGACAAACGACAGAAUUUUGAAAUUUUGAAAAAAGUCAAAUUUUGGAGAUUUUAUGGGACUUUGAAAUUUUCAGUACAAAAUUUGUUUUUUGAAUAUCUUUUAAACGUAGGGUGGACAAACGACGAUUUUUGGCAUACGUAUAGAAUACAAGGUGGACAAACGACAGAAAUUUGAAAUUUUGACAAAAGUCAAUUUUUGGAGAUUUUUUGGGACUUUGAAAUUUUCAGUACAAAUUUUGUUUUUUGAAUAUCUUUUAAACUUAGGGUGGACAAACGACGAUUUUUGGCAUACGUGUAGAACUCGAGGUGGACAAACGACAGAAAUUUGAAAUUUUGAAAAAAGUCAAUUUUUGGAGAUUUUUUGGGACUUUGAAAUUUUCAGUACAAAUUUUGUUUUUUGAAUAUCUUUUAAACGUAGGGUGGACAAACGACGAUUUUUGGCGUACGUGUAGAACUCGAGGUGGACAAACGACAGAAAUUUGAAAUUUUGAAAAAAGUCAAUUUUUGGAGAUUUUUUGGGACUUUGAAAUUUUCAGUACAAAUUUUGUUUUUUGAAUAUCUUUUAAACGUAGGGUGGACAAACGACGAUUUUUGGCAUACGUAUAGAAUACAAGGUGGACAAACGACAGAAAUUUGAAAUUUUGACAAAAGUCAAUUUUUGGAGAUUUUUUGGGACUUUGAAAUUUUCAGUACAAAUUUUGUUUUUUGAAUAUCUUUUAAACUUAGGGUGGACAAACGACGAUUUUUGGCAUACGUGUAGAACUCGAGGUGGACAAACGACAGAAAUUUGAAAUUUUGAAAAAAGUCAAUUUUUGGAGAUUUUUUGGGACUUUGAAAUUUUCAGUACAAAUUUUGUUUUUUGAAUAUCUUUUAAACGUAGGGUGGACAAACGACGAUUUUUGGCGUACGUGUAGAACUCGAGGUGGACAAACGACAGAAAUUUGAAAUUUUGAAAAAAGUCAAAUUUUGGAGAUUUUAUGGGACUUUGAAAUUUUCAGUACAAAAUUUGUUUUUUGAAUAUCUUUUAAACGUAGGGUGGACAAACAAAAAAAAAAAAAAUAAUUUUUGAGGAUUUUGA